ACACAGGACUACUCAGAACAGAGAAGACUAGGUCAGAACACAGGACUACUCAGAACAGAGAAGACUAGGUCAGAACACAGGACUACUCAGAACAGAGAAGACUAGGUCAGAACACAGGACUACUCAGAACAGAGAAGACUAGGUCAGAACACAGGACUACUCAGAACAGAGAAGACUAGGUCAGAACACAGGACUACUCAGAACAGAGAAGACUAGGUCAGAACACAGG